UGUAAGCGUAUACCAAAGUUGUUGCAGUUAAAACGCUCGUAGUCGGAAUUUGGCAGUUCCGGAUGUGUGCACGUCGUGUGCGCACUUCGCGGGGAUUGCUUUUGUGGUCUUGCGUAGGAUGAGGCACUUUUAUUAGUGAACGUCCUCACGCAACCACUUUUUACUGUGAGAAAAUCAGAGUGCUCAAAGCAGGCAUUUGCCGUGAAUGUAUUAGCAUGGAAUAAUAGAAUAGGACUUGGUUCUAUUUUGUUGGUUUGUUGGGACUGAGUAAUGAUUAAGAGGGACAGUUGGGGGCAUUUGUAUUUCGGUGCUAGAGGUGAAAUUCUUAGAUUACCGAAAGACAAACAGCUGCGAAAGCGUCUGCCAAGGAUGUUUUCAUUGA
rnacentral:rRNA from 1 species